UACGGAGGAUCCGAGCGUUAUCCGGAUUUAUUGGGUUUAAAGGGUGCGCAGGCGGGAGAUUAAGUCGGCGGUGAAAUUUUGCAGCUCAACUGUAAAAGUGCCUUCGAUACUGGUUUCCUUGAGUGUGGAUGAAGUAGGCGGAAUUUGUGGUGUAGCGGUGAAAUGCUUAGAUAUCACGAGGAACUCCGAUUGCGCAGGCAGCUUACUAAACCACUACUGACGCUCAGGCACGAAGGCGUGGGGAUCAAACAGGAUUAGAUACCCGGGUAGUCCCU
rnacentral:rRNA from 1 species